GGUUAAGCGACUAAGCGUACACGGUGGAUGCCCUGGCAGUCAGAGGCGAUGAAGGACGUGCUAAUCUGCGAUAAGCGUCGGUAAGGUGAUAUGAACCGUUAUAACCGGCGAUUUCCGAAUGGGGAAACCCAGUGUGAUUCGUCACACUAUCAUUAACUGAAUCCAUAGGUUAAUGAGGCGAACCGGGGGAACUGAAACAUCUAAGUACCCCGAGGAAAAGAAAUCAACCGAGAUUCCCCCAGUAGCGGCGAGCGAACGGGGAGCAGCCCAGAGCCUGAAUCAGUGUGUGUGUUAGUGGAAGCGUCUGGAAAGGCGCGCGAUACAGGGUGACAGCCCCGUACACAAAAAUGCACAUGCUGUGAGCUCGAUGAGUAGGGCGGGACACGUGGUAUCCUGUCUGAAUAUGGGGGGACCAUCCUCCAAGGCUAAAUACUCCUGACUGACCGAUAGUGAACCAGUACCGUGAGGGAAAGGCGAAAAGAACCCCGGCGAGGGGAGUGAAAAAGAACCUGAAACCGUGUACGUACAAGCAGUGGGAGCCUCUUUAUGGGGUGACUGCGUACCUUUUGUAUAAUGGGUCAGCGACUUAUAUUCUGUAGCAAGGUUAACCGAAUAGGGGAGCCGAAGGGAAACCGAGUCUUAACUGGGCGUUAAGUUGCAGGGUAUAGACCCGAAACCCGGUGAUCUAGCCAUGGGCAGGUUGAAGGUUGGGUAACACUAACUGGAGGACCGAACCGACUAAUGUUGAAAAAUUAGCGGAUGACUUGUGGCUGGGGGUGAAAGGCCAAUCAAACCGGGAGAUAGCUGGUUCUCCCCGAAAGCUAUUUAGGUAGCGCCUCGUGAAUUCAUCUCCGGGGGUAGAGCACUGUUUCGGCAAGGGGGUCAUCCCGACUUACCAACCCGAUGCAAACUGCGAAUACCGGAGAAUGUUAUCACGGGAGACACACGGCGGGUGCUAACGUCCGUCGUGAAGAGGGAAACAACCCAGACCGCCAGCUAAGGUCCCAAAGUCAUGGUUAAGUGGGAAACGAUGUGGGAAGGCCCAGACAGCCAGGAUGUUGGCUUAGAAGCAGCCAUCAUUUAAAGAAAGCGUAAUAGCUCACUGGUCGAGUCGGCCUGCGCGGAAGAUGUAACGGGGCUAAACCAUGCACCGAAGCUGCGGCAGCGACACUAUGUGUUGUUGGGUAGGGGAGCGUUCUGUAAGCCUGCGAAGGUGUACUGUGAGGUAUGCUGGAGGUAUCAGAAGUGCGAAUGCUGACAUAAGUAACGAUAAAGCGGGUGAAAAGCCCGCUCGCCGGAAGACCAAGGGUUCCUGUCCAACGUUAAUCGGGGCAGGGUGAGUCGACCCCUAAGGCGAGGCCGAAAGGCGUAGUCGAUGGGAAACAGGUUAAUAUUCCUGUACUUGGUGUUACUGCGAAGGGGGGACGGAGAAGGCUAUGUUGGCCGGGCGACGGUUGUCCCGGUUUAAGCGUGUAGGCUGGUUUUCCAGGCAAAUCCGGAAAAUCAAGGCUGAGGCGUGAUGACGAGGCACUACGGUGCUGAAGCAACAAAUGCCCUGCUUCCAGGAAAAGCCUCUAAGCAUCAGGUAACAUCAAAUCGUACCCCAAACCGACACAGGUGGUCAGGUAGAGAAUACCAAGGCGCUUGAGAGAACUCGGGUGAAGGAACUAGGCAAAAUGGUGCCGUAACUUCGGGAGAAGGCACGCUGAUACGUAGGUGAAGCGACUUGCUCGUGGAGCUGAAAUCAGUCGAAGAUACCAGCUGGCUGCAACUGUUUAUUAAAAACACAGCACUGUGCAAACACGAAAGUGGACGUAUACGGUGUGACGCCUGCCCGGUGCCGGAAGGUUAAUUGAUGGGGUUAGCGGUAACGCGAAGCUCUUGAUCGAAGCCCCGGUAAACGGCGGCCGUAACUAUAACGGUCCUAAGGUAGCGAAAUUCCUUGUCGGGUAAGUUCCGACCUGCACGAAUGGCGUAAUGAUGGCCAGGCUGUCUCCACCCGAGACUCAGUGAAAUUGAACUCGCUGUGAAGAUGCAGUGUACCCGCGGCAAGACGGAAAGACCCCGUGAACCUUUACUAUAGCUUGACACUGAACAUUGAGCCUUGAUGUGUAGGAUAGGUGGGAGGCUUUGAAGUGUGGACGCCAGUCUGCAUGGAGCCGACCUUGAAAUACCACCCUUUAAUGUUUGAUGUUCUAACGUUGGCCC
rnacentral:rRNA from 1 species